AACUUCCGUACUGGAGCUGCUACCACUUGCCAUUAAUAAAGUCAUUUCCUCUUCUCACGCAUUCUGCUAGCACAUUUCUCUCGGCACAAUAAUUAUCUCUAUCAUCGAUUUCCUCCGUCACAGUGAAUUCCACGCUCACUAUUCAAAUAAGAUGUGCACAAGAACUACAUUGGUAUUUCUUGUUUCACCUUUCCCGACAUCGUUAUGAGAUAGAAGAUACUCUGCAGUUUAUAACAUACUCCCUCUAACUAGACGAGAGCUAUUUGUUACGAAGGGGGCUCGAUGUUCCCACGUUAAGGAAAUCAAGCCUUACCAUGGUGAAUUGCGAUGAGAUAGUGCUGGUCAUAAUCAGGUUUAGGCUUGUUCCAUAGCGGUUUGAGACAGCAUUCUUCUGUGACAUUGUCCUGCUCCAUCUGUCAUUAGUGAUCUGGAUUUCUUGAGCUUCCAAUAGGGACAACAGCAUGUCGUGCGUUCUCGGUUCGGCAUGUCGUCUGUCACU
rnacentral:lncRNA from 1 species